UCAGAUUGAACGCUGGCGGCAGGCCUAACACAUGCAAGUCGAGCGGAUGACGGGAGCUUGCUCCUUGAUUCAGCGGCGGACGGGUGAGUAAUGCCUAGGAAUCUGCCUGGUAGUGGGGGACAACGUUUCGAAAGGAACGCUAAUACCGCAUACGUCCUACGGGAGAAAGCAGGGGACCUUCGGGCCUUGCGCUAUCAGAUGAGCCUAGGUCGGAUUAGCUAGUUGGUGGGGUAAUGGCUCACCAAGGCGACGAUCCGUAACUGGUCUGAGAGGAUGAUCAGUCACACUGGAACUGAGACACGGUCCAGACUCCUACGGGAGGCAGCAGUGGGGAAUAUUGGACAAUGGGCGAAAGCCUGAUCCAGCCAUGCCGCGUGUGUGAAGAAGGUCUUCGGAUUGUAAAGCACUUUAAGUUGGGAGGAAGGGCAGUAAGUUAAUACCUUGCUGUU
rnacentral:rRNA from 1 species